UUUGUUUAUACAGACGAGGUUCAUCAGGCUAAUGAUUAAUAGGGAUAGUUGGGGGCAUUAAUAUUUAAUUGUCAGAGGUGAAAUUCUUGGAUUUAUGAAAGAUUAACUUCU
rnacentral:rRNA from 1 species